rnacentral:rRNA from 1 species
GGGUUGUGAGGUUAAGCGACUAAGCGUACACGGUGGAUGCCUAGGCAAUCAGAGGCGAUGAAGGACGUGCUAAUCUGCGAAAAGCGUCGGUAAGGUGAUAUGAACCGUUAUAACCGACGAUGUCCGAAUGGGGAAACCCAGUGCAAUUCGUUGCACUAUCGUUUGAUGAAUCCAUAGUCAAACGAGGCGAACCGGGGGAACUGAAACAUCUCAGUACCCCGAGGAAAAGAAAUCAACCGAGAUUCCCCUAGUAGCGGCGAGCGAACGGGGAGCAGCCCAGAGUCUUAAUCAGCAUCAGCAUCAGGAGAACGGUCUGGAAAGGCCGGCAAUAAAGGGUGAUAGCCCCGUAUCCGAAGGUGUUGGUGUUGUGAACUCGACGAGUAGGGCGGGACACGUGUUAUCCUGUCUGAAUAUGGGGGGACCAUCCUCCAAGGCUAAAUACUCCUGAUUGACCGAUAGUGAACCAGUACCGUGAGGGAAAGGCGAAAAGAACCCCGGCGAGGGGAGUGAAAUAGAACCUGAAACCGUGUACGUACAAGCAGUGGGAGCCUUGAUUUAUCAGGGUGACUGCGUACCUUUUGUAUAAUGGGUCAGCGACUUAUAUUCUGUAGCAAGGUUAACCGAAUAGGGGAGCCGUAGGGAAACCGAGUCUUAACUGGGCGAAUGAGUUGCAGGGUAUAGACCCGAAACCCGGUGAUCUAGCCAUGGGCAGGUUGAAGGUUGGGUAACACUAACUGGAGGACCGAACCGACUAAUGUUGAAAAAUUAGCGGAUGACUUGUGGCUGGGGGUGAAAGGCCAAUCAAACCGGGAGAUAGCUGGUUCUCCCCGAAAGCUAUUUAGGUAGCGCCUCGUGAACUCAUCUUCGGGGGUAGAGCACUGUUUCGGCUAGGGGGUCAUCCCGACUUACCAACCCGAUGCAAACUACGAAUACCGAAGAAUGUUAUCACGGGAGACACACGGCGGGUGCUAACGUUCGUCGUGAAGAGGGAAACAACCCAGACCGCCAGCUAAGGUCCCAAAGUCAUGGUUAAGUGGGAAACGAAGUGGGAAGGCUCAGACAGCCAGGAUGUUGGCUUAGAAGCAGCCAUCAUUUAAAGAAAGCGUAAUAGCUCACUGGUCGAGUCGGCCUGCGCGGAAGAUGUAACGGGGCUAAACCAUGCACCGAAGCUGCGGCAGCGACAUGUAAAUGUUGUUGGGUAGGGGAGCGUUCUGUAAGCCUGUGAAGGUGUGCUGCGAGGCAUGCUGGAGGUAUCAGAAGUGCGAAUGCUGACAUAAGUAACGAUAAUGCGGGUGAAAAACCCGCACGCCGGAAGACCAAGGGUUCCUGUCCAACGUUAAUCGGGGCAGGGUGAGUCGACCCCUAAGGCGAGGCAGAAAUGCGUAGUCGAUGGGAAACAGGUUAAUAUUCCUGUACUGGUGAUAAUUGCGAUGGGGGACGGAGAAGGCUAGGCUGGCCGGGCGACGGUUGUCCCGGUUUAAGGAUGUAGGUGGGUGAAUUAGGCAAAUCCGGUUCACUGUACACUGAGGUCUGAUGACGAGUCACUACGGUGGCGAAGUAGCUCAUGCCCCGCUUCCAGGAAAAGCCUCUAAGCUCUAGAUUAUCAUUAAUCGUACCCCAAACCGACACAGGUGGUCAGGUAGAGAAUACUCAGGCGCUUGAGAGAACUCGGGUGAAGGAACUAGGCAAAAUGGUGCCGUAACUUCGGGAGAAGGCACGCUGGCAUUAGGUGAAGUGGUUUACCCAUGGAGCUGAAGCCAGUCGCAGAUACCAGCUGGCUGCAACUGUUUAUUAAAAACACAGCACUGUGCAAACACGAAAGUGGACGUAUACGGUGUGACGCCUGCCCGGUGCUGGAAGGUUAAUUGAUGGGGUUAUCCGUAAGGAGAAGCUCUUGAUCGAAGCCCCAGUAAACGGCGGCCGUAACUAUAACGGUCCUAAGGUAGCGAAAUUCCUUGUCGGGUAAGUUCCGACCUGCACGAAUGGCGUAAUGAUGGCCAGGCUGUCUCCACCCGAGACUCAGUGAAAUUGAACUCGCUGUGAAGAUGCAGUGUACCCGCGGCAAGACGGAAAGACCCCGUGAACCUUUACUAUAGCUUGACACUGAACAUUGAGCCUUGAUGUGUAGGAUAGGUGGGAGGCUUUGAAGUGUGGACGCCAGUCUGCAUGGAGCCAACCUUGAAAUACCACCCUUUAAUGUUUGAUGUUCUAACGUUGCCCCAUAAUCUGGGGUGCGGACAGUGUCUGGUGGGUAGUUUGACUGGGGCGGUCUCCUCCCAAAGCGUAACGGAGGAGCACGAAGGUUGGCUAAGCAUGGUCGGACAUCAUGCGGUUAGUGCAAAGGCAUAAGCCAGCUUGACUGCGAGAGUGACGGCUCGAGCAGGUACGAAAGUAGGUCUUAGUGAUCCGGUGGUUCUGAAUGGAAGGGCCAUCGCUCAACGGAUAAAAGGUACUCCGGGGAUAACAGGCUGAUACCGCCCAAGAGUUCAUAUCGACGGCGGUGUUUGGCACCUCGAUGUCGGCUCAUCACAUCCUGGGGCUGAAGUAGGUCCCAAGGGUAUGGCUGUUCGCCAUUUAAAGUGGUACGCGAGCUGGGUUUAGAACGUCGUGAGACAGUUCGGUCCCUAUCUGCCGUGGGCGUUGGAAGAUUGAAAGGGGCUGCUCCUAGUACGAGAGGACCGGAGUGGACGCACCGCUGGUGUUCGGGUUGUCAUGCCAAUGGCACUGCCCGGUAGCUAAGUGCGGAAGAGAUAACCGCUGAAAGCAUCUAAGCGGGAAACUUGCCUUGAGAUGAGUCUUCCCUGACUCUUUAAGGGUCCUAAAGGAACGUUUAAGACGAAGACGUUGAUAGGCUGGGUGUGUAAGCGUAGCGAUACGUUGAGCUAACCAGUACUAAUGAACCGUGAGGCUUAACCUGACAACACCGAAGGUGUUUUAG